GACGAACGCUGGCGGCGUGCCUAAUACAUGCAAGUAGAACGCACAGUUUAUACCGUAGCUUGCUACACCAUAAACUGUGAGUUGCGAACGGGUGAGUAACGCGUAGGUAACCUGCCUGGUAGCGGGGGAUAACUAUUGGUAACGAUAGCUAAUACCGCAUAAUAUUAAUUAUUGCAUGAUAAUUGAUUGAAAGAUGCAAUUGCAUCACUACCAGAUGGACCUGCGUUGUAUUAGCUAGUAGGUGAGGUAACGGCUCACCUAGGCGACGAUACAUAGCCGACCUGAGAGGGUGAUCGGCCACACUGGGACUGAGACACGGCCCAGACUCCUACGGGAGGCAGCAGUAGGGAAUCUUCGGCAAUGGACGAAAGUCUGACCGAGCAACGCCGCGUGAGUGAAGAAGGUUUUCGGAUCGUAAAGCUCUGUUGUAAGAGAAGAACGGGUGUGAGAGUGGAAAGUUCACACUGUGACGGUAGCUUACCAGAAAGGGACGGCUAACUACGUG
rnacentral:rRNA from 1 species